rnacentral:lncRNA from 1 species
AUACACUCAAAUGGCAAUUGUAGCAUCCCAAGGAUAUUCUCAUCUAUGAAAUAUAAAUGACUGUAUUAUUACUGUGUCUUAAAGCAUGAGGUUUUACCGAUAAGGUUUGUGAAGGUAACCUUGACCUGAUCACAAGACCUAUUGCCCAACACAAGUCCAUUAACAUGUUCGGAGACUUGCCCGGGAAAGCGAGGUUACCUCGUACACGCCCAAAAGGUGUUCCCUCUUCCGUACCACCCAAUCAUGAUUGUCUAAAAUAUGUGAUGUAAUUGUUACGUGAUUAGAGGCAUCCCUCUGCCUCCUCAUCAAUAAAAGCAAGGCAACCCCUGGAAUUUUCUCUUUUUAGGAAGGUUCUUUCCCUAGAUAGGAUUACCCUUUCUCUCUCUCUCUUUCUCCUCCAAGUCCUUUCCUUCCCCGAGGCUGUGACUAUCUCGGCCUGCAUUCUCUAUCUUAAUCUCCUCAACCACCUUGUAUUCCAUUAUCCUCAUUUUCCGCCUUAAGGAAAAUCAUAGGGGUUGCCUGCCCUAUCCAACCACUGAUUUGUCGGUGUCUUUCAUUUCCACCCUGGUUCUCGGUCCCUAUCUCUCCUCGGUCCCAUUACAAAGGUGAGCCCCUUUCCGUUGUGGGACCCUGCUGGUCAGGGUAGUUCAUUAGGAGCGAACCCACAAGUGGCACCCCGGUUUUGGGAGCGAAAUUCCUUUGUCACAGGCUUCGAGUGCGCACAACCUGAGGAGCAAUCAUCGAGGUACAGAACCACAAAGGCGUGACCGGGCAGGUGGCCUGUGAUGAUAAUGGAGAAUGCUGGAUUCCCACUAAGCAUCUCAAACCCUGGAAAGGACCAGAUCCUUAUCCAGAGGGAGCUGAUAGGCGGGCAGAGCAGAGCACAACGCCACACGCAGCUCCAGACCAGGAAGAGAAGCAGACGAACAACACAGACGUCACCAGCUGAUGACAGAUCAAGCACACUGCACAGAAGCUGGAAGACGCCAAUGACUUCCAGGUAAUCAUGGCUACAAUCUAGACGCCACACGCUUUCUCUCCCCGGCACCGAAUGAAACAGACUACAUCAAAGGAGCAUAAAAAUCACUUUUGGCAGAACAGGACUCCCCAGUAUCCCACAGAGGUGAAGGUACAUGGGGCUUGAACAUUUCUACACUAUAAUGAUAAGGAGGAAAAGCUUGCACAGAAAAGUGAACUGAGCCGCCCUUCCCCCAUCCCACCUCCCCCACCAAACCAGAGUGAGCUACCUGAGCACUCACCGGGACAGCGAG